GAUGAACGCUAGCUACAGGCUUAACACAUGCAAGUCGAGGGGAAACGACAUCGAAAGCUUGCUUUUGAUGGGCGUCGACCGGCGCACGGGUGAGUAACGCGUAUCCAACCUGCCCAUCACUUGGGAAUAACCUUGCGAAAGUAAGACUAAUACCCAAUGAUAUCCCACGAAGGCAUCGGAAUAGGAUUAAAGAUUUAUCGGUGAUGGAUGGGGAUGCGUCUGAUUAGCUUGUUGGCGGGGUAACGGCCCACCAAGGCAACGAUCAGUAGGGGUUCUGAGAGGAAGGUCCCCCACAUUGGAACUGAGACACGGUCCAAACUCCUACGGGAGGCAGCAGUGAGGAAUAUUGGUCAAUGGGCGAGAGCCUGAACCAGCCAAGUAGCGUGCAGGAAGACGGCCCUAUGGGUUGUAAACUGCUUUUAUAAGGGAAUAAAGUGGGUCACGUGUGACUUUUUGCAUGUACCUUAUGAAUAAGGACCGGCUAAUUUCGU
rnacentral:rRNA from 1 species